rnacentral:tRNA from 1 species
GCGAGAGUGGCGGAAUUGGCAGACGCGCUGGACUUAGGAUCCAGUGGUAUGACCGUAGGGGUUCGACUCCCCUCUCUCGCACCA